AACCACACCUAAAGUUAGGUUUGCCACAAUUGGUAGGUGUUUUGGUUCAAGAAUAAACUGAGGCUCGCCACAGCUGCGGCCUGCGGAGCCCUCGCGCCACAGUUUUUGCUGCCAAGGUGCGGCGAGUUUUUUCGGCGCCACACCCGCCGUGGCCGCCAACGCUGCCGAAAGAUCCCAGUCCCUCUACCUAGCGCGAACGCAUCUGCUUAAGUUUACCGCAAACAUCAUGCCUCUCCCACAUCAGCUGCAUGGUUGAUCCGCUUCCGCGCCGUCAUGCUCGCUCACCGCGGCAGACUCCUCCCCGACAGUUGCGGCAGCGGAAGGGAAGGGAAAAGGAAACAAAUGAAGGACAGAGGAAGCAGACGACCACCGAGGAGUGGAAUCAUCGCUGCGGCCACUCGAGUAGCAGAUAGGAAUCCCAUUCUUUUUUUCUUGUUUUGACUGCCAUCGAUUUGUUCAACGGACUGGCCUGCUGCGACGAGCAGCAGCAGGCUAGCAAGUUGCGAUUGGCCGAUUGCAAUCCCCCUCUAGCUCCUUCACUAAGUACUUAUCUUUUUUCAUUGGUAGCACUGUUAAGAUUAAUAUGGCCGUCAUUUUUAUUAGAAGCACGAUAAAACAAAGAUGAGGUAUCGAUUUAUAUUAGAUAGCAUUUUUAUUGACUAAUAUAUGCUGGAGUGUAAGACUAUAUUUUGACAUGUACUAUUUCUAUUCUAUCUU